GAAGCCUUGGGUGACGGAGUGACUUCUUUCUUUAUCACUUGCUGCCUUUGUCACCUUUGCUUUCUUGAUGCUGCCCAUUUCACCCUUCUGCUGAAGCCGAUGUGACAGCCUUCUGUCAAAGAUGGGGAGGUGAAUUUUAUUCCACCUUUUUCUUUGCCAGUAUCAGCUCUGUCAGGGAGGCAUGCUGGACGGCAGAGCUCUCCCCCAAACCCUCCACCAGCAGCAAAACACAGAAGGGAUUAUGCAGAAAGAAUGCCCUUCAAGAAAUCCCUGGAUUAAUUGCAUGAGGAAGAAGUACAUAUGGACAGAGAUCAUCAGACAAUCCUUACAGUGACAAAUUGGCCCAGCACCAGACCACGCCUAGCAAAACCAACCAUUUCCGAGGCAGUCCAACUGGAUACGUUUGGUCUGAGGGACAAAUUGGAUGAGAGUUUAUGCUUUUCCAAAGCCAGACAUGAACGAAUAUCUUCUCCAGCCAGAAUGCACAAUGGGUCCACAGCGGCAGCGAUACAUUCCUUUUUCAUUUUCUUGCCUCCUUUGGAUUUGGGUGGCUGGGGACGAACAAGUGAAAGGAAGAGGAAAAAAGAGAACAUUUUCUUCACAGCAACUGGAGAACAUCCCAGACUCUUAGCAACUGCCUCAGUCUGUCACAGCCAUAUGUCUCAAGGAGGCAACCAUUUCCCAGAUCUAAGAAGCCUGUGGAAAUCUUGAGUACCAAGUGGCAAAUCUUCUGUUGUCAUGGGGAGGGAGCGGGGAAAUAAAUCUACAGAAAACUGUAUUUCAGAUUUAAAAGCCCACAAAAUAAGCCAAAAAUAGUUGUAUUUGCUAUGGGAAAGAAAAGGAAAGGAAACAAGGGGAAAAU